UCCUUCCUCAUUUUGUUAAGCUUCUGCUUGAGCAUCUGGAUAUCCAAGGUUUAUUCUACGGUGACAAUUAUGCAUCCGAGAUUGUUGGCUAGUAUAUAGAUAAUAUUAUCCAUCUAAGCAAUAUAUUCCAUCCAUCAAGAAGUAAAAUAUAGUAUGUAUAUCUUUUAUUACAAUUUUUUUGUAGUUCAUUUAUUAUAGUAGCUCUUUUGGUAGUUAAAUGAAGUUAAUUUGUUCGGUACAUUCAAAUGGAGUUCUUUUUUCAGUUUUGAAUAUAGCAUGUUAUAUAAUUU
rnacentral:lncRNA from 1 species